rnacentral:lncRNA from 1 species
GUUGGCAUGGACUGCAGUGAACGAGCACCGUGUCUCCAUAUGAGAGUGCUGGGUGUGCAUCUUCGCUCUUAGUCUGGGGCAACCCUCGAAACAAAAAGGUUUUUGGGCUUCCAGACCCAGCCAAAGCUCUGAGAAACUAAAAUGGUGCAGUACCCAGCAAUCAACACUGACAAUCUGUAGCUGUGCAUCAAGCUGCUGCCCAGCAGAGCCCGGCGGUGGUGGUGGCGGCGUGAGAAGCAGGAGGGAGAGGAAGGGAUGCUGAGGAGCGGGGUGGUCACAGCGUGGUCAGGAGAGGUGGCCAAGUCCAACAGGGGAUCUUUGCUAACACAGUGGCAUAGCCGUGUGCUCAUCCCCAGGUCUGCUCAUCUUGCACACUGGAUUAGCAGAGGCAUGCUAAAAGCAGCAGACUCAGGCCUUCGCUGGAGGACAAAAGUCAGUUCAGGGGACCUGAUGAAACAAAUCCACAGGAAUUGGACUCUUCAUGCAUUGCAAACUGAAGAAAGGGCUAAAUCCAUGUGCUACAGAUGCUUGCUGAGUGCAGUUGGACGCAUAUUUCCAGGAACAGAAACUCACCCUACUGUAGAAGUAUCUCCUUUCAGAAACACGGUAUCUUGUUGUAAAGCUGAGUUUGAAGCAGAAGCAACACCUGCUGGUGAAAACGAAGUCUACGAAACUGCUGAGCCAUCCUCCUGGAAGAACAGUUUAAAAACAAAGUGAACUUUGCAACGCAGAGACGUGGCCAAAACUUUCAACUGAUAGCCCUGCACAAAUGCAAACAGAACAGCAACUCUUCGACUUUAAAACAUUCACUCACAAAGGAAAUGUAAUUACAGUGAAAGAUAUUUAGUUGAAAGAGUUGUUAGCUUUCACAAGAAUCCCGAAAAAAUGGCCGAAGCAGCAGUGUGAGUAUAUUAACAUUUCUCCCCCGAAAAUGGAUUCGAAUGAUGUGUUAGGCCCCAGUGUGGGUUAUCUUAAGAUGGGGAGAAAAUCAAGCACAGUAAGUCAUCUCUACUUGGAAGAUGCAGAAGAGAAAUGCUGACAACUGGUUGUACCGUUUGGAGGGUAAGCAGCCCAUGGAGGAAACAUGAAUACACUCUUCUGCAGGGUCUAAUUCUGCACAGUGUUGUUGCUCUCUGGGAUAAAUAAUAAAGUGAUCCUCGAUUUCA